rnacentral:rRNA from 1 species
GACAGAGGUUGCAAGCGUUGUUCGGAAUCACUGGGCGUAAAGGGUGCGUAGGCGGUUAAAUGUGUCUCAUGUGAAAGCCCCCGGCUUAACUGGGGAAGUGCAUUAGAAACUAUUUAACUGGAGUACAGAAGAGGAUGGCAGAAUUCCCGGAGUAGAGGUGAAAUUCGUAGAUACCGGGAGGAAUACCUGAGGCGAAGGCGGCCAUCUGGUCUGUAACUGACGCUGAAGCACGAAAGCACGGGGAGCAAACAGGAUUAGAUACCCUGGUAGUCCGUGCCAUAAACGAUGUUCACUAGAUGUCGGGAGAUUUGACCCUUUCGGUAUCGCAGCUAACGCAUUAAGUGAACCGCCUGGGGAGUACGGUCGCAAGAUUAAA